rnacentral:lncRNA from 1 species
GACCACUUUCCCAAGAAUGACAUCUCUUUUGCUCUCUUUCUUAGAUGAAAAUGAUCCCAAGGCAAAGGUUGGCAUACAUGUCAAGAGAAUGUUCUCCAGCUGGGGCCUGCAGUACAGAGAAUUGUAUAUACCAGAGGGCUCCUGGGACCCUAGGCAGAUUAUUAUGGUAAUAUUGGAGGCUGCUGUCCUCUCCCUCCCACAGCUGGGCCGCCUCUCUCAUUGUAAGUAUUGAAGCAAUAUGUUUUGCAAAUUAUACGUUGGGAACAACAGGGACCCAGUAAAGUGAGGAAAAAGAGAAACAUUGCAAAAUGUUGCCUUUAA